CCUACGGGAGACAGCAGUAGGGAAUCUUCCACAAUGGGCGAAAGCCUGAUGGAGCAACGCCGCGUGGGUGAAGAAGGUCUUCGGAUCGUAAAACCCUGUUGUUAGAGAAGAAAGUGCGUGAGAGUAACUGUUCACGUUUCGACGGUAUCUAACCGGAAAGCCACGGCUAACUACGUGCCAGCAGCCGCGGUAAUACGUAGGUGGCAAGCGUUAUCCGGAUUUAUUGGGAGUAAAGGGAACGCAGGCGGUUUUUUAAGUCUGAUGUGAAAGCCUUCGGCUCAACCGGAGUAGUGCAUUGGAAACUGGGAGACUUGAGUGCAGAUGAGGAGAGUGGAACUCGAGGUGUAGCGGUGAAAUGCGUAGAUAUAUGGAAGAACACCGGUGGCGAAGGCAGCUUUCUGGUCUGUAACUGACGCUGAGGUUCGAAAGCGUGGGUAGCAAACAGGAUUAGAUACCCGAGUAGUC
rnacentral:rRNA from 1 species